AUUUCUUUGCUCACUAGCCUCUCUUGGCAGCUCUUUAAUAAUUCUACCUCCCUUAGGGCUAGUAUAUUAAUCAAUAAGUACUUUAUAUGGGAAAAUAUCCUUCUUGGAGGAAAUAUUUGUUCCCCCAAUAUAUCUUGGAAACCGGGUUCUGGGAAAGCUAUUCACUUAUGGUACAGUAGAUGGAUUCAAAACACCCCCACCCUUGGACAAAUCAUCUAUGUACCUCUCACACCCAAGAAGAAAUGGGUUUAAACUUGCAGAUCUUUGAGAUGUUGAUCAUUGAAACUGGUCAAAAAUCUCCUUUCAUAUCCCAGACCACAUUAUGACUAGCCCUGCCUCCGUCAAGCUUGAUUGUCCUUUAAUUUCUGUUGUAUUCUAUAUUGGGCAGCUUCACCAAAUGGCUUCUUCUCCACCAAGUAGGUUAUCCCCAUUAUGAAGACUUCGGCUCCUACAACCUAUAAUUAUGGCUGGAUUUGGAAAUUGAAUACCAUUGGUGGCUGCUGAAGAAAUUGGGGAGUCCAGUACUACGCCAUAGUUUUCGAGAAGCAAAUGGUGUCGCUGACUUUUUGCCUCGGAUGGUUGCCAAGUUACAAGGGGAUCAUGUGAAUAUUUUGUUAUCUCUUCCGAAGCAUGCUUUACCCGUCAUGGAAGCUGAUCUUCAAGACUUUCUUUUACUAAACUAGUAACUAGUAAAAUAUGUCAUAACUUAGCUACUUUUGACAACCUAUCUCUGCGUUUGCUAGUGUUCAAGACACUAUGACAUUCUCUCUAUUUAAUGUUUGAUAAUUAUAUAUUAUA